GACGAACGCUGGCGGCGUGCUUAACACAUGCGAGUCGAACGGAAAGGCCCUGCUUUUGUGGGGUGCUCGAGUGGCGAACGGGUGAGUAACACGUGAGUAACCUGCCCUUGACUUUGGGAUAACUUCAGGAAACUGGGGCUAAUACCGGAUAGGAGCUCCUGCUGCAUGGUGGGGGUUGGAAAGUUUCGGCGGUUGGGGAUGGACUCGCGGCUUAUCAGCUUGUUGGUGGGGUAGUGGCUUACCAAGGCUUUGGCGGGUAGCCGGCCUGAGAGGGUGACCGGCCACAUUGGGACUGAGAUACGGCCCAGACUCCUACGGGGGGCAGCAGUGGGGAAUAUUGCACAAUGGGCGGAAGCCUGAGGCAGCAACGCCGCGUGCGGGAUGACGGCCUUCGGGUUGUAAACCGCUUUCGCCUGUGACGAAGCGGGAGUGACGGUAAUGGGUAAAGAAGCACCGGCUAACUACGUG
rnacentral:rRNA from 1 species